UAGCGGCAGCGGGAAGUAGCUUGCUACUUUGCCGGCGAGCGGCGGACGGGUUGAGUAAUGUCUGGGAAACUGCCUGAUGGAGGGGGAUAACUACUGGAAACGGUAGCUAAUACCGCAUGACCUCGCAAGAGCAAAGUGGGGGACCUUCGGGCCUCACGCCAUCGGAUGUGCCCAGAUGGGAUUAGCUAGUAGGUGAGGUAAUGGCUCACCUAGGCGACGAUCCCUAGCUGGUCUGAGAGGAUGACCAGCCACACUGGAACUGAGACACGGUCCAGACUCCUACGGGAGGCAGCAGUGGGGAAUAUUGCACAAUGGGCGCAAGCCUGAUGCAGCCAUGCCGCGUGUGUGAAGAAGGCCUUAGGGUUGUAAAGCACUUUCAGCGAGGAGGAAGGGUUCAGUGUUAAUAGCACUGUGCAUUGACGUUACUCGCAGAAGAAGCACCGGCUAACUCCGUGCCAGCAGCCGCGGUAAUACGGAGGGUGCAAGCGUUAAUCGGAAUUACUGGGCGUAAAGCGCACGCAGGCGGUUUGUUAAGUCANAUGUGAAAUCCCCGAGCUUAACUUGGGAACUGCAUUUGAAACUGGCAAGCUAGAGUCUUG
rnacentral:rRNA from 1 species